GAGACGGGUCGCAUCAUAUUCUAUUUCAUGUAACAGCCUCAGAAAUAAGUCAUUGGGUCGCAAUGAACCCAGCCUCGGCAAAUGAGUCAGGAGAACGAAAGAAAAACCUCAUCACUUGAUCAUAAGUUGACUGUGACCUGCUGAAGAAAUCGUGUUGUAAAACUGACUUGCUGGUGCUCAGAGGGAGUUGAUGUCUUGCUCAAGGACACCUCAGAAGCCGUUGUGGGCUCUCUGCCACCAGGCUGGAUGCAGAGUGAUAUAAAAUGGAGAAAAGCGGCAAAUCUUCCCAUUUGACUGUCUGGAAAUGGUUCGUUACUGGAUCACAUGCUGGCUGACUCACAGGCUGGGAUGAUCACUACCAGCCGGUUGUGAAAGUGGCGAAAGCCAAACACCUCAGUCAUCAGCACACGGGAAACCCCAGAAUAGAAUAUUGGCCCACUUUGUUGUUCCAAAUCAGCGGGUGGUUCAAUAUGAGCAAUCCUCUAAGGUUGUUGCUGUCCAACUCUUUCACAACAUUGCUCUACAUGGGAUGGUCAGAUAUAACACAUGCUGAGAAGAGUUCAAAAAAAAAAAAAAAAUCACCUCUGGAUUUUUCUGAGUGUAAAGGAAUCUCUUAAGAACUCCCCCAGAGUAUAAUUAAGGUUAAACUUAUCCCUCAUUAAAUGCCCUAUACGACACAUACCGCACCACAACAAGCCAUACUACUGUGACUCUACUGGCAAUCUGAAUUUCCCUGAAAAUUCUUAAAAGAUUUAAGUCGGUUUAGAAAUACGAAAAGCAAUUACUUUCUUGAAAGCUUUCUACUCAAAUUCGAAAAUUCGAAUUUUCUUUUCAAACAGUGAAGCGUCCUCUGACAAGCUGCUGUAACUGGUUCGGUACAAUCGUACAACAUGACAAUUGUGCAGUGAUGGAAUGUAGCAAAGUACAUUUACUGUACUCAAGUAUUGUAGUUACAGUAAUACUACAAUUGAGAUGAAAAAUACUGUACUUUUUACUCCACUACAUUUAUUUGACAGCAGUAGUUACUUUACAAAUUCAGAUUUCACACAGAAAACAUAAAAGCAUCAUAUGAAAUAGGAUGCAUUGUUAAAAAUAGAAAAGAUAAAACUUCUCAAAAGUGUACAAUGUAGUUUUAAGUUAGCAAAGUAUGGUACUGCCGCUUGGUUUGACAACAACUGUUUUUAACUUUUUAAAAAGACUAAACUUUUUAAAAGUUGAACAUAAGUAUUGUGAAUGUAUAAUCUGAUUCCCUCAAUUAGAAGGCUAUCGUGACUUGUGGUCACACUUUGUCUGAAAGUGGUUUGGUUGCCUUGGUUCUGUCUUCAACUAAAAACAUCAACAGUGAUGACAAAAUGAAAUCUUCUCAAUAUGCAUGGCCUCCAUUGGCUGCUUAAUAAAACAUCUCAUAUUAGAGAGUCCGCAAAGAGGCCCUCCCCUCAGUUACGUUGAUGCCAUUUGACUAUUAUUCUCUAGUAAAGGAGGCAGAGGUUACGAGCAAGAUGUUCGGAAAACAUGCUAAAACUGACCGACUCAUUGGGACUUUAACUGGUCAUAAGUUUCACAAUGUAAAAAAAAAAAAAAGGAGGACAUCAGCUUUUGAUCCUGAGUGUUACUACACUUCUUUGUACAGCACAUACAGCACAUGUGAUCUACUCAAGAAGUCGCUGUGACGUUGUGAAUGAGCUUGAAUCCAGCAUGGGACCCUUGUCACAUGUCAUCUUCUAUCCUCUCUCAGCUCUAGAUAAGUUACUGCAGUCUACCUCACAUAUGUGUUGAAAUAAAUAAACAGCAUCUUAUGUUGAUACAUAUAUGCACAGCACAUUCCCUGCCCCUCUUUAAAAAAAAAAAACGCACAAGACAACUGGAAUUGAGGUUUAUGAUAAUCAAAAACAUGUUGGACAUUUACACGGCUAUAUACUGGCAAUCCAGGUACUUUACAUUAAUGUAUAAGCCUCAUAAUACGAACCAAUGUAUGUCCUCCAGAGUCAUACAUCCCUCGUGUUCUGACAGUGUGGCCAGUCCCUCAGAGUGACUUCUGAACCCAGAUCGUUCCAUCAGAGCCCCAAAAGCCUUGGGGCUCUGUCCUGGUAUGAGGUGGCAGAACAGCGGGGAGAACCCUGGGGAGAACUGUGAAGGGGAACAUCUCAAUGGUCUUCUGGCUCCUCUUCUCAGUGGAAAGCACCUCGGAGGCGGAUCGAAACCAACCCCCACUGACGAUCACUUGACACAGCUUUGUGUAGGGCGCCGAUGAUCACCCUGUCACAUGGAGGCAGCUACCAGGACGGUUCCAUGGACAUUUCUCAUAUCUUCACAAUAAGAGGGCAUGAAAGAAAGAUGGCUGAAUAGUUGAACCGGUGCUAUUUUCACCAUACACCAC